rnacentral:ncRNA from 2 species
UAAAAACAAAUUUCUAAUGGUGCCUCAAACGAGGAGAAUAGGAAAGACCGGUUAUAGUCCGGCGCGGACCCACCACUGUAAGCGAAGACAAAUCCCUAUGUGCCACUGGAGAAAUCUAGGAAGGCUGGGAAGAGGAUGAUGCGCGAGCCAGGAGACCUGCCUUAGAAGAAUAUUAUAA